rnacentral:lncRNA from 1 species
UCGUUAGCGAGUGCUAGGUCAUAAACGAAUCCUUGCGCUCACAGCUCACUCCACUCCACUCGCGCUCUCUCUCUGCUCUUCCCUCAUGUCCCACUCCCUUGGCUCUCGUCGCCGCGCCCCUCGCCACCGAGCCACUGUGUCUUCGCCGCCGUUCAUCAAUGCCUUCCUGGAAUGACGGUGAGGAGAGCACUGAGGAGGAGUUUGUCGGCAUGGAUAUGGAGUUGUGUGUAAGUGAUCUGCUCUUUACCUAGGGUUAGGGUUAGGGUUUAUGU